UGGGGAAUCUUGGACAAUGGGCGCAAGCCUGAUCCAGCCAUGCCGCGUGAGUGAUGAAGGCCCUAGGGUCGUAAAGCUCUUUCGCCUGUGAAGAUAAUGACGGUAGCAGGUAAAGAAACCCCGGCUAACUCCGUGCCAGCAGCCGCGGUAAUACGGAGGGGGUUAGCGUUGUUCGGAAUUACUGGGCGUAAAGCGCGCGUAGGCGGAUUAGUAAGUCAGAGGUGAAAUCCCGGGGCUCAACCCCGGAACUGCCUUUGAUACUGCUAGUCUUGAGUUCGAGAGAGGUAAGUGGAAUUCCGAGUGUAGAGGUGAAAUUCGUAGAUAUUUGGAGGAACACCAGUGGCGAAGGCGGCUCACUGGCUCGAUACUGACGCUGAGGUGCGAAAGUGUGGGGAGCAAACAGGAUUAGAUACCCUGGUAGUCCACACCGUAAACGAUGAAUGCCAGUCGUCGGGUAGCAUGCUAUUCGGUGACACACCUAACGGAUUAAGCAUUCCGCCUGGGGAGUACGGUCGCAGAUU
rnacentral:rRNA from 1 species